rnacentral:rRNA from 1 species
CCUACGGGAGGCUGCAGUGGGGAAUAUUGGACAAUGGUGGGAACCCUGAUCCAGCCAUGCCGCGUGUGUGAAGAAGGCCCUCGGGUUGUAAAGCACUUUCAGUGGGGAAGAACGCCUGGUGGUUAAUACCCAUCAGGAAAGACAUCACUCACAGAAGAAGCACCGGCUAACUCCGUGCCAGCAGCCGCGGUAAUACGGAGGGUGCGAGCGUUAAUCGGAAUUACUGGGCGUAAAGCGCGCGUAGGUGGCUUGAUAAGCCGGUUGUGAAAGCCCCGGGCUCAACCUGGGAACGGCAUCCGGAACUGUCAAGCUAGAGUGCAGGAGAGGAAGGUAGAAUUCCCGGUGUAGCGGUGAAAUGCGUAGAGAUCGGGAGGAAUACCAGUGGCGAAGGCGGCCUUCUGGACUGACACUGACACUGAGGUGCGAAAGCGUGGGUAGCAAACAGGAUUAGAUACCCUUGUAGUC